UGUUAAGUCAUACCACUCUGAAUAUACCUGAACAUGAAAACCUAGCAGGGUUAGGCCUUGUUAGUCCUUGGAUGGGAGACUCCCAGGGAGUACUAGGGAUCUUCAGAC
rnacentral:rRNA from 1 species